GCACUGCUGAUGAGACCCUACCAGGUCGAAACAGCUGUCCAAUGC
rfam:Echinostoma caproni strain Egypt genome assembly, scaffold: ECPE_scaffold0011316